rnacentral:lncRNA from 1 species
UGCUCUUCCUCUUCUUCUUCUUCUUCUUCUUCUUCUUUUUUUCUUAGUUGAUCUAUUUCUACUUCAUGGAUAACGUCUGGGUUCACAAUAGGUUUAAUUUCUUAGUUGUCUUGCUAGAUUCAGAUGACUAUAAGUACUUGCUUUUGGAAGAUGUUAUUAGCAUGUUGAGUGAGAGAAGAAGCAAUUUUUAACACCAUCUGUUUGGUACGAGUAUUGUCUAUGCUGAUUCAUGAACUCCGUCAAC